rnacentral:rRNA from 1 species
UACAGAGGUCUCAAGCGUUGUUCGGAUUCAUUGGGCGUAAAGGGUGCGUAGGCGGCGCGGUAAGUCGGGUGUGAAAUCUCGGGGCUUAACUCCGAAACUGCAUUCGAUACUGCCGUGCUUGAGGACUGGAGAGGAGACUGGAAUUUACGGUGUAGCGGUGAAAUGCGUAGAUAUCGUAAGGAAGACCAGUGGCGAAGGCGGCUCACUGGCCCGUAACUGACGCUGAGGUGCGAAAGCGUGGGGAGCAAACAGG